rnacentral:lncRNA from 1 species
AGAAAAAUGUUGCUGUUGAUGAGUCAAAAAGGAAGAAUCUUGAAAGGGUGUUUAGUGAAUCAAGUGAUAGAAAUGAGAGGAAAGUGAAAUCAGGUAAGGCAGAAAAUGAGAAUGUUGUUGAUGAGUCAAAAGAGAAGAGUUUUGAAGGGGUGUUUGGUGGAUCAAAUGAUGGAAUUCAGCUGAGGAAAGUGAAAUCAGGCGCGAAUAAGAAAGUGAAAUCAGGUGCGAAUAAGGUAGAAAAUGAGAAUGUUGCUGUUUAUGAUGAGUCAAAAGAGGAGAAUCUUGAAAGGGUGUUUGAUGAAUCAAGUGAUGGAGAUGAGGGGAAUCGAAUUAAGGUGAGGAAAGUGAAAUCAGGAGCGAAUAAGGUAGAAAAUGAGAAUGUUGUUGAUGAUGUUGUUGAGGAGUCAGAAGAGAAGAAUCUCGAAAGGGUGUUUGGUGAAUCAAGUGAUGGAAAUGAGGGGAAUCGAAUUCAGCUGAAAUCAGAGAAAUGUGAAGAAGUUGAUGAGAAUUUCAAGAAGUCUGAUGAUGUAAUCGAGGAAAAUGAGGUUGUUGUUGAUGAUGUUCUUGACGACUCGAAGAAGAAUCUUGAAAGGGUGUUUGGUGAAUUAAGUGAUGGGAAUGAAGGGAAUCGAGUUCAGCUGAGGAAAGUAAAAUCAGGCGCGAAUAAGGUAGAAAAUGAGGAUGUUGUUGAUGUUCUUGAUGAGUCGAAGAAGAAUCUUGAAGGGGUGUUCAGUGAGUCAAGUGAUGGAAAUGAGGGGAAUCAAAUUCAGCUGA